rnacentral:tRNA from 1 species
UCCCUGAUGGCUCAGCUGGUAAAGAAUCUGUCUGCAAUACAGGAGACCUGGGUUCAAUCCCUGGGUUGGGAA